AGGGCACCCCCACCUUAGGCCUCACAUCAUGGCAUCCAGGCCAUGAUACCAGUGUCCCUGCCUCUCCUGAUACAGUGCCCCCAUCACACACCACAACAUCCCCACCUCAUGCCAUAGUGCCCUCCCCUCUUGUACCUGGGACCAAUUGGCCUCAAUGAAGACUGGCUGCAUGUCACCACCCUCUGUUGGAUUGCCUGAUGCGGUAACGCAACUUUGUUCCAGUGACCAAGCUGUUCACAAGCCCCCAUCGAAGUCAUGCUUGAAGUCACCUCGUGGUAUCAUGACAUUACUCUUGGAGGCAUGUGUUCAGAUGCCACUCUGCGAAGUCCUCUGGAAUACAGCAUUUUCCACCUACCAGAUAGAUGCAUUCCAAAGAGACUACCAUCGCCCACUCCCCUGCUCUAGGGGCCUGAUCAGCACACGGGAGUCUAUAGGUAUGUCUGUAUUGCAUUGUAUGCCCAGAUCUGUGACAUCUGUGCUUGUGGACUCUGUAUUUCCAAACACAUGAGCCAUCAGUGCUAGAACUAGGGGUGCUGGCUUGAAGUGGUUUCCAUUAUAUACAGGGUUUGCAGUUUGGUUCAAUGGCUCUUAGCACCCCCACUGUACAAAUUGUUCCAGCACCACUGACCUGAGCAUCCACACUCCAUUGUAAACCUGGGUUUACAAUUGCUGAAUACAAGUCUCAUAGCCAUGGUAACCCAUCGAUACUGAAGUAGGCAGACCUUGUGACUCAGGUUUGUGGAUUGAGCUGUAUCCACACAGCAAAAUGACAGGGCUUGGACUUCAGUCAGAGAAAGAUUCAAGCUCUGACCCACCACAAUAGCAGGAUCCUAGAACCCGGGUACUGUGCGCUUGCUGACCCAAGUCAGACUGAUUUUGUGUGUGGAUGGAACGGGGGCUUAGGCUCAAAUCUGAAUCAGAGCCUGGACUUAGUGUGCUAUGUAGACAUACUCUGUGGGAGUUAAAUAGGAUUUGGAUCAGGCCUAGGUGAUAGAGGAGGGUUAAGAGAAGUGGACAAUAUCCCAUGGCAAAAGGCUAAAAUGGCAUUCACUGACUCCCACUCUUGGUGCAUCUGUUUUUAGGGUGGAUUAAAAGGAACUGGAUUACUCUUGCCACAGCUGCUUCCCACUGGUAGCAACAACACACAAAACUGAUAAUGACCCCCUAAAAUGCAAGGGGUGAAGAAAGCCCUUGCCAUUGUUCCUGGGCUGAGAAGACGGAAGCAAUAACCAGGUAGGCUCUCUCCUGUUAUAGCGAAACUCCACUUAACUGUGACUUUUCUGUGUGAAAAUAAACACUCCACUUCAGGACUUAGAUUAUGUGGU
rnacentral:lncRNA from 1 species